UAUCUAAGGGGCCUGGUCCUUGGAAUGACCACGUGUUGACCCCUUGGUCAACCAGACCCAACCAAUGGGCCCAGCGCGUUUGGGCCUUUUGGUUUCACUAUUUGGGUCCCUUUUCUUAUUUUUUCACCCCUUUCUUUCUUUCAAUUUAUUUUAUUUUUCUUUCUUUUUUAUUUAUUUUGCUUUAUUUGAUUUUAUUUCUUUUCCUGAUUUUAUUUUAAUUCAUUUUGUUUUCUAUUAUUUUUUCUCCCUUUCUUAUUUUUUCCCCUUUAUUAUUUUCAUUUAUUUAUUUUAUUUUGUUAUUUUACUUUCU
rnacentral:lncRNA from 1 species